GACGAACCGUGCGAACGUUAUUCGGAAUCACUGGGCUUAAAGCGCGUGUAGGCGGGCCGGCACGUCCGUGGCUGAAAGCCCCCGGCUCAACCGGGGAAGUGGCGCGGAUACGACCGGCCUGGAGGGGGGUAGGGGACCUGGAACUUCCGGUGGAGCGGUGAAAUGCGUUGAGAUCGGAAGGAACGCCCGUGGCGAAAGCGAG
rnacentral:rRNA from 1 species